GGACCCGCACAAGUAGUGGAGCAUGUGGUUUAAUUCGAAGAUACGCGCAGAACCUUACCAACACUUGACAUGUUCGUCGCGACUUUAAGAGAUUAAAGUUUUCGGUUCGGCCGGACGAAACACAGGUGCUGCAUGGCUGUCGUCAGCUCGUGUCGUGAGAUGUUGGUUAAGUCCCGCAACGAGCGCAACCCUCACUUUUAGUUGCCAUCAUUUAGUUGGGCACUCUGAAAGAACUGCCAGUGAUAAGUUGGAGGAAGGUGGGGAUGACGUCAAGUCCUCAUGGCCUUACGUGUUGGGCUACACACGUGCUACAAUGGCAUUUACAACAGGAAGCAAGACUGCGAAGUUAAGCAA
rnacentral:rRNA from 1 species